UACGUAGGGUGCAAGCGUUGUCCGGAAUUAUUGGGCGUAAAGAGCUCGUAGGCGGUUUGUUGCGUCGGCUGUGAAAUCCCGAGGCUCAACCUCGGGUCUGCAGUCGAUACGAGCAAACUAGAGUGUUGCAGGGGAGACUGGAAUUCCUGGUGUAGCGGUGAAAUGCGUAGAGAUCGGGAGGAACACCAGUGGCGAAGGCGGCCAUCUGGGACAACACUGACGCUGAAGCACGAAAGCGUGGGGAGCAAACAGG
rnacentral:rRNA from 1 species